rnacentral:rRNA from 1 species
CAGCCGCCGCGGGAAUACGAAGGGGGCUAGCGUUGCUCGGAAUGACUGGGCGUAAAGGGCGCGUAGGCGGAUGGCACAGUCAGAUGUGAAAUUCCUGGGCUUAACCUGGGGGCUGCAUUUGAUACGUGUUGUCUAGAGUGUGAAAGAGGUCGUGGAAUUCCCAGUGUAGAGGUGAAAUUCGUAGAUAUUGGGAAGAACACCGGUGGCGAAGGCGGCGACCUGGUUCAUGACUGACGCUGAGGCGCGAAAGCGUGGGGAGCAAACAGGAUUAGAUACCCCAGUAGUCCCUGUCUCUUAUACA